UACGAAGGGGGCUAGCGUUGCUCGGAAUCACUGGGCGUAAAGCGCACGUAGGCGGAUUGUUAAGUCAGGGGUGAAAUCCUGGAGCUCAACUCCAGAACUGCCUUUGAUACUGGCGAUCUCGAGUCCGGGAGAGGUGAGUGGAACUGCGAGUGUAGAGGUGAAAUUCGUAGAUAUUCGCAAGAACACCAGUGGCGAAGGCGGCUUCCUGGACACUAACUGACGCUGAGACGCGAAAGCGUGGGGAGCAAACAGG
rnacentral:rRNA from 1 species